CACGUAGUUAGCCGUGGCUUCCUCGAUGGGUACCGUCAUUGCCUAAAACUAUUCGCAUUAGGCACGUUCGUCCCCAUCAACAGAGCUUUACGAUCCGAAGACCUUCUUCACUCACGCGGCGUUGCUCCGUCAGGCUUGCGCCCAUUGCGGAAGAGUCCCCACUGCUGCCUCCCGUAGGAGUCUGGGCCGUGUCUCAGUCCCAAUGUGGCCGUUCAUCCUCUCAGACCGGCUACUGAUCGUCGCCUAGGUGAGCCGUUACCCUCACCUACCAGCUAAUCAGACGCAGACCCAUCAACAGGUGAUAGCAUAUAUAUAGAGGCCAUCUUUCAUGCAGGGGAGAUGCCUCCCCUGCACUUCAUUCGGUAUUAGCAUUCCUUUCGGAAUGUUGUCCCCAUCCUGUCGGCAGGUUGUCUACGUGUUACUCACCCGUUUGCCACUAGCUUAUAAAAGCAAGCUUUCAUUCGCUCCGUUCGACUUGCUAUGU
rnacentral:rRNA from 1 species